CUGUUUUACCCUCUAUCAGGCCUUCCAGAGCGUCGUUCUUGAAUCUCCAAGUUGAAAGUUGAUUCCCGCACUCACAAUGGAUAAAAACAAGAAAGCUGCGGGGACAACAUCGCAAAAGAAAGGAGAACAAGGUGGCCAUACGGUCCAUACCAAGGAGGAAAAGGGAAAGGGCCAGGACCAGACCAAACAAGCUCAUCACCCUGCACCCGGUGGUAAUCCACCGGAUGAUGAUGAUCUGGGACUACCUCCUUUAGUUAUCAACAUAAAAGAUUUAAAUCAGGAUUUGAAGAAGGUGGAAAUAAGAAGCCUUCCCCCUGAUAGCCCUUAAUGAUGAAUGGCAGUGGAGCCGAGAAGUUACAACAAGUCUCAUGAUGUUGUCGUGAUUAAGAAGUGUGGGUCUUUCUUAUUCGGAUGAGAAGGGCUACUCUAUCUCUCCUGUUAUCCCUAAAAAUAAGUAGGAAUCACUUGUGUUGUCUUGGAUUUCAUCACAUGACUGUACUACUAGCUAGGAAGAAGUGUGUGAUAUGUGUGCUGUUUUAUAUGGAUUGCGUGUUCUACAAUUUUAUAUUUCUGACUUAAUCGUGCAAUGUUAAAUGUCUGUCGUAUAGCCUAGUACUAGUAAUGGUGCACAUGAAAUUCACAUCUCCAGUUGACAAUAUAUAUGUUAUCUGUACACUAGAGAUCCAUA